rnacentral:sRNA from 1 species
GAGGGAGGGUUAAGGCGCCUGGGCGCACAGCGAGCCGGCUGAGGGGGCUGUGGCGGCCGCGGCGGGCGACAUGGACAACGCGGGGAAGGAGCGUGAGGCAGUACAGCUGAUGGCGGAGGCCGAGAAGCGAGUCAAGGCCUCCCACUCCUUCCUCCGAGGGCUGUUUGGAGGAAACACAAGAAUAGAAGAGGCUUGUGAAAUGUAUACCAGAGCUGCAAAUAUGUUCAAGAUGGCUAAAAAUUGGAGUGCUGCAGGAAACGCAUUUUGUCAGGCAGCCAAGCUCCACAUGCAGCUUCAGAGCAAACAUGACUCCGCUACCAGCUUUGUGGAUGCUGGAAAUGCUUACAAAAAGGCAGAUCCCCAAGGUAAGACAGCCAGGCAUGUAGCAUGCUAUCUCUGUGUGUAACUAACCAGUCAGUACUUCCCUCAACGUUAAGGUCAGUGUUGGUGUGCUUUCAAGUCCUGGUAAAAAGGAAUUUUUGUAUUUUGGAAUAAUAGAGAAUUUUGAUAACCUUAGGGAUUUUUCUUUUUUAAUCAUUUGGGGGCUUUUAUGAGGAGAAAUUAUGUUAAAUUUAUACUGGCUGUUUAUAGCAUCAUUUAAUUAAACUCUUAUUUAUAUUGCAUUUUAGAGAAUUUUUUGGAAAUUACCUUUAAUUUUAUCUAAGACUUCUUAUAUCUUAAUUUUGUGAAAAUG